rnacentral:lncRNA from 1 species
GGUUUAUCAGUAAAGAUUGGCUAAAAUUGCAAUCAUUUGCCGGUGAUAGUACACAUGAUCUUUCUAUGGCAGUGUCACAAGAGGGGCCCGGAAGGAAUUAAGUUAUUGUUCUGAUUUAGUUUUGCAGCAUAUAUUUGAGAAAACCUUAAGGGGGAAUAUAAAUCAUAGUUAUUCAGCAAUUUAUGAGCACUUGAGAUAUGAAUCACUUUUAGUUUUUUUAAUUAGGGUGAAGCAGUUUCAGAUCAGGUUGUGCCAUUACGAAGGCAUUGUUCU